rnacentral:rRNA from 1 species
GUCCACGCCCUAAACGAUGAUGACUAGUUGUUGGAGGAGUUAAAUCCUUUAGUAACGCAGCUAACGCGUGAAGUCAUCCGCCUGGGGAGUACGGUCGCAAGAUUAAAACUCAAAGGAAUUGACGGGGGCCCCGCACAAGCGGUGGAUGAUGUGGUUUAAUUCGAUGCAACGCGAAAACCUUACCUACCCUUGACAUGCUAGGAACGCUGCAGAAAUGUAGCGGUGCCCGAAAGGGAACCUAGACACAGGUGCUGCAUGGCUGUCGU